UACGUAGGGGGCAAGCGUUGUCCGGAAUCAUUGGGCGUAAAGAGCGUGUAGGCGGCCCGAUAAGUCCGCCGUGAAAGUCCAGGGCUCAACCCUGGAAUGCCGGUGGAAACUGUGGGGCUGGAGUCCGGAAGAGGCGAGUGGAAUUCCUGGUGUAGCGGUGAAAUGCGCAGAUAUCAGGAGGAACACCAAUGGCGAAGGCAGCUCGCUGGGACGGUACUGACGCUGAGACGCGAAAGCGUGGGGAGCAAACAGG
rnacentral:rRNA from 1 species